GUUCGGAGGGGGGGGGGGAAUUUCGGCGGGUUGCCGGGGAAAUGGGGGGAUAUGGGGAGGGAACCCCAAUGGCGAAGGCAGCCCCCCUGGGAUAAUACUGACGUUCCGGCAGGAAAGCGUGGGUAGCAAACAGGAUUAGGUACCCUGGUAGUUCCCGCCCUAAACGAAGUCAACUAGCUGUGGGGCCGGUUACGGCUUAGUAGCGCAGCUAACGCGUGAAGUUGACCGCCUGGGGACUACGGUCGCAAGACUAAAACUCAAAGGAAUUGACGGGGACCCGCACAAGCGGUGGAUGAUGUGGAUUAAUUCGAUGCAACGCGAAAAACCUUACCUACCCUUGACAUGCCCGGAAGCUUCAAGAGAUUGAAGUGUGCUCGCAAGAGAACCGGAGCACAGGUGCUGCAUGGCUGUCGUCAGCUCGUGUCGUGAGAUGUUGGGUUAAGUCCCGCAACGAGCGCAACCCUUGUCAUUAGUUGCUACGCAAGAGCACUCUAAUGAGACUGCCGGUGACAAACCGGAGGAAGGUGGGGAUGACGUCAAGUCCUCAUGGCCCUUAUGGGUAGGGCUUCACACGUCAUACAAUAGUCAGGACAGCGGGUUGCCAAACCGCGAGGUGGAGCUAAUCUCAAAAACCUGAUCGUAGUCCGGAUUGCAGGCUGCAACUCGCCUGCAUGAAGUCGGAAUCGCUAGUAAUCGCAGAUCAGAAUGCUGCGGUGAAUACGUUCCCGGGUCUUGUACUCACCGCCCGUCA
rnacentral:rRNA from 1 species